AGAGUUUGAUCCUGGCUCAGGAUGAACGCUAGCGGCGUGCCUAACACAUGCAAGUCGAACGAGCAGUCGGAUUCUUCGGAAACCGGCGGGCGAGUGGCGAACGGGUGAGUAACACGUAGGUGACCUGCCCCGAAGUGGGGGAUAAUCCUUCGAAAGAGGGCCUAAUCCCGCAUGUGCUCCGCAGGGUUAGAGUCCUGCGGAGUAAAACUCCGGUGCUUCGGGAGGGGCCUGCGGCCGAUUAGCUAGUUGGUGGGGUAAUGGCUCACCAAGGCUAUGAUCGGUAGCUGGUCUGAGAGGAUGGUCAGCCACACUGGCACUGAGACACGGGCCAGACUCCUACGGGAGGCAGCAGUGAGGAAUAUUGCGCAAUGGGCGAAAGCCUGACGCAGCAACGCCGCGUGGGUGAUGAAGGCCUUCGGGUCGUAAAACCCUUUUCUGGGGGAUGAGGAAGGACAGUACCUCAGGAAUAAGUCUCGGCUAACUACGUGCCAGCAGCCGCGGUAAAACGUAGGAGGCAAGCGUUAUCCGGAAUCACUGGGCGUAAAGAGCGCGCAGGCGGCUCCAUAAGUCGGACGUGAAAGCCCCUGGCUUAACUGGGGGAGGUCGCUCGAUACUGUGGGGCUUGAGGUCGGGAGAGGGAAGCGGAAUUCCCGGUGUAGUGGUGAAAUGCGUAGAUAUCGGGAGGAACACCAGUGGCGAAGGCGGCUUCCUGGCCCGCACCUGACGCUAAGGCGCGAAAGCGUGGGUAGCAAACGGGAUUAGAUACCCCGGUAGUCCACGCCCUAAACGAUGGCAACUAGGUGUUGGGGGCUAUUAACCCCCUCAGUGCCGAAGCAAACGCGAUAAGUUGCCCGCCUGAGGACUACGAGCGCAAGCUUAAAACUCAAAGGAAUUGACGGGGACCCGCACAAGCAGCGGAGCGUGUGGUUUAAUUCGAUGCAACACGAAGAACCUUACCUGGGCUUGACAUGACCGUAGUAGUGAAGCGAAAGCAGAACGAGCCUGUAUAGGCAGCGGCCACAGGUGCUGCAUGGCUGUCGUCAGCUCGUGCCGUGAGGUGUUGGGUUAAGUCCCGCAACGAGCGCAACCCCUGCUGUUAGUUACAUGUGUCUAACGGGACUGCCGGUUUAACGCCGGAGGAAGGUGGGGACGACGUCAAGUCAGCAUGGCCCUUAUGUCCAGGGCUACACACACGCUACAAUGGCCGGUACAAUGGGUUGCCAAGUCGCGAGGCGGAGCUAAUCCCAUCAAAGCCGGUCUCAGUUCGAAUUGGAGUCUGCAACCCGACUCCAUGAAGUUGGAGUUGCUAGUAACCGCCGGUCAGCCAUACGGCGGUGAAUACGUUCCCGGGUCUUGUACACACCGCCCGUCACGUCAUGGGAGCCGGUAGCACCUGAAGCCGGUGGGCUAACCCGAAAGGGAGGCAGCUGUCGAAGGUGGGACUGGUAACUGGGACGAAGUCGUAACAAGGUA
rnacentral:rRNA from 1 species